UACGUAGGGGGCAAGCGUUGUCCGGAAUUAUUGGGCGUAAAGAGCGCGUAGGCGGUCCGAUAAGUCGGCUGUGAAAGUCAAGGGCUCAACCCUUGAAAGCCGGCCGAUACUGUCGGACUAGAGUCCGGAAGAGGCGAGUGGAAGUCCCGGUGUAGCAGUGUAAUGCGUAGAUAUCAGGAGGAAUACCGAUGGCGAAGGCAGGUCUCUGGGCUGACACUGACGCUCAUGCACGAAAGCGUGGGGAGCAAACAGG
rnacentral:rRNA from 1 species